GACGAACGCUGGCGGCGUGCUUAACACAUGCAAGUCGAACGGAAAGGCCUCUUUCGGGGGGUACUCGAGUGGCGAACGGGUGAGUAACACGUGAGUAACCUGCCCUUGACUUUGGGAUAACUUCAGGAAACUGGGGCUAAUACCGGAUAGGAGCUCCUGCUGCAUGGUGGGGGUUGGAAAGUUUCGGCGGUUGGGGAUGGACUCGCGGCUUAUCAGCUUGUUGGUGGGGUAGUGGCUUACCAAGGCUUUGACGGGUAGCCGCCUGAGAGGGUGACCGGCCACAUUGGGACUGAGAUACGGCCCAGACUCCUACGGGAGGCAGCAGUGGGGAAUAUUGCACAAUGGGUGGAAGCCUGAUGCAGCAACGCCGUGUGCGGGAUGACGGCCUUCGGGUUGUAAACCGCUUUCGCUCAUGACGAAGCUUUGUGUGACGGUAGUGGGUAAAGAAGCACCGGCUAACUACGU
rnacentral:rRNA from 1 species